rnacentral:lncRNA from 1 species
GCCGCCGGAGGAGCCCCGGGAAGGAGGAGGGGUCCACGCGCAGCCAAGGGAGACGCGCUUGUUAAGUCCUGCCUGGAGUUUUACCUCCUUCAGGAGCUCCGCGCCUGCUGGCGGAGGAGGUGCAACCAGGAGCCGAACGGGGAGAAGCAGGGGGAGGAGCCAGAAGCGUCGGCCGGCCGCCGCCGCUCUCCAGCAGCGGCUCGGUGGGCUGAAGAGCGGCCGUUCUCCGCUGCUGUCUUUGGCGCACGAUGGGGCAGCGCAGUGAGACGCGAGCUCCUGCCCGCCGCGGCUAACAUCUACACCUCUAGGCGUUUCCGUUCCAGUUUUGUCUGCUUCACGACCAUGCGUGCAUUGGAACAGUUUAGCAGAGAGCCCCUAGGUCAGCGGAGAGAAGAGCUUCUCUGGCUCCUGGAGGAGAGGGAUGGCUAUGUUCCUUCUUCUGACUUCUCGGAGAGGUUGGGAGUAUUCUGGUCUCCAUCCGGUUUUAGGAGAUGGCACAGAGAGCAGUUCGUUCUGCAAGUCGUCGCCCCCGUUUCCCCUCCCCCGUGCCUUAAGUACUGUAAUAAUACUGUCUCUUCCUUAUCCCGAAAAAUAAUAUUAAUUCGUGUAUUUUGAGAGACUGCCCCACCCACGUUAUACUUUAAAAAUGGUUCUUUUUAUUAUUGUUGUUGUUUUUCAGGGAUUUAUAGAGGUCCAGAUUGCAUCAACUCAGGAUUAUAAGGCAAUCAUUCUUGAAAAGUUUGUGCGUAAGGCCUCUCUGAAGUGGCUAUGGAUCAGANAGAGGUGCCUCCUCUGCCUGGUUUUUGCGUGUUGAGAGACAUUCUGAUCAAGUCUUUGGGUUGCAAUCUUGAUUUGUGGGGCUUGAUUAAUGCUGCAUUAUGUUAUCUAGUGUCAUUUGGUACACAUAUGACUCAGAGUUGAGGUGAUUCUUGUAUCUUGGGAUGGACACUUUGUGUAGUUCAUCUUCAUUCUAGUCUCCUAGUUUUGCAGACAUAAACUUCAAGAUCAUAUUUUAAUUAUAUUUUAAUGGGAAACGAUAUGUAAACAAAGAAAUAAAUUUAAAGUGAGA